CUCAGCCUCCCGAGAAGCUGGGACUACAGGCGCCCCCCACCAGGCCCGGCUAAUUUUUUGUAUUUUUAGUAGAGACGGGGUUUCACUGUGUUAGCCAGGAUGGUCUCGAUCUCCUGACCUCAUGAUCCGCCUGCCUCGGCCUCCCAAAGUGCUGGGAUUAUAGGCGUGAGCCACCGAAAAUAUCAAAUUCUUAAGGAAAGCAUGAUCCUUACCAUUGGAGGUAAACAGAAAUCGCUUGUCUGACAGGGAACCACUGAAACAAUAAAGACAAACAUGAGAAGAUCUCGUGACUCUCACUGAGGAUGUUUCAGCAGUGUUACUCUGGGGACAGUCUCUGCCCUGUCUCUCUCUCCACGGCCACACUCCUACCUACUGUAGCAACCAGCACCAAGUCUUGAACCAGCUCCUGCUUCUGGAUGACAAGGUACAGCUGGAGAAAACACACAGCAUGUCAGUGAGCUGGCCUUACUGCCGCUUCUAUCACUAUCACAGGAGAAAUGAUUGCAUCAGCCUCAUUCUGCAGUUGUCUCCUUCAGUGCAGAAGACAUUCCUAAGGCCACAGGAAUGUCCUUAUCUACCUUUGAAGACCAGAUCAACCUUUAAAAUAAUCCCUCACAAAGUCAGUGGUAUGAAAAAUACAGAGAACGAAUGGAAAAUCUGGGGGCCUCAACAUUAGCUUUAUGUGCACAGUAUUAGAUACUAGAGGUAAACACCAAAAGGUAGAUGCCCCUGUUGUGUCCAACUUUUUACAACUAUUUUACAAUCUCAGAGUGCUGCUUAUUAUUUUAAAUGUUUAAUUCUGAAUUAUAGAUGGGAAUAAUGGACACAGAGAGUACUAAAACAUGAAAUCCACAAAGAACCCCAAAGUACUCUGGCCAAGAGUCUAAGUACCUUCCCAUCAAAAGCUCUUUUUAGAAGUAAUGGGUAGUAAAACUCUCUAGAAUAGAUUUUCUCUUUCACAUUGUCUAUGCUUGGCAGACUCCAUAAACCCUGGUAUUCCACAUCUAGGUUCUUCUAUAAUCUCUGCACUGAAUAUAAUGCAGGCACCAAUCAUUACUUACAUGAGAAAACUCAGACCCACUUGGGUCCUGGGACUUGCCUAAGUUCACAGUUAGCAAAAAAGCUUGGAUGAGAACUCUCCUGACACUUAAAGAAAGGCGCUAAUCAUAUUAAAAUUGUAUUAAGAUUUAUGUGGAGCCUCUCUUUUGUCUCUUUUUCCAUUUUCUCUAACGUUCCUACGCUGUUACAUUUGAAAUGUGGCUCAAAUAAGCCUAAAUAAUGCUGCGGCGACCCUAAGAAACUAAGCUCACUUGCCAUGAAACAUUAAUUUUGUUGUUGACCAAAAAGUAUGGAAAGGAUACCUUUGGAGUUAAUCCUGAGAAGAAACCAGGAAAAGCUCUACUUCUAACAGCUCUCUGCCUGGCUUUCCUCCGUUAUCAACUGGAAAAUGUUUUUCCAUUUCAUUCCAUUGAACGAAUUAAAUACAGACCACUUAAAGAAUUCUAUAGGUUAAUAAGCCUACUCUUUUAAAACUAAAAACACCCUAGGGAGGUUAGGGUUCUGAAGCAUUCACACAUUAGAGUGAAUGAAUUCAAUCAGAUUACAGGAAUAAGGAGGCUUCCCAGAGGGCUACAGAAGCAAUCAAGAUUAAUCUGAUGGAAACAGAAAGAAGGUUUUCACUUCUGAUGGUUAGCACCAUCGUCCUCUGUAUGAGGUCAGUCUCUCUUCCUGAUACCAUUCUGGUCUCUUCAAAUCAAGGAAAUGACCUGACCGGAGAUGAAUCCCAGAAGACCCCUGGAUAUUUACUUUAGGGACUCCUUCUUCCUCAGCUGCAAUACUUCCUUCUCUGGUUUUUCCUGAAUGCCAAACAAUCAUGUGUGGGAACAUAAGUUCAAUGACCGCAUGUACAGUGUUUCCCCAGGAGUAAAACAACACAGAUGAAAACAACUGCUCCCUGAAGAUUUCAAAUCUAAAUGAGUGGAAGAGGCUGUGUGAACAUACAGUUAACUAUUUGCUCAGUGCAAAAUCACAGAUCUAGAAAUAAGAGAUCUUGAUAUAAUUCUGAACUUUCUAUCUACUCCCCCCAAAAUAAAAAUGAGACAAUUAGUACAAAUAAUUAUAUGGAAUAUGAAGCAAAACCCUUUCUAAUUCACUAAUGGUUUACAUUUGUGUACUCUACUUUUUGCAUGGAAGUUUAACGUCAAAUUAUAUAAAAUAUAUAAUAUAUACUUUUCAAAUUAUAUAAAAUAUAUUAUAUAUGUAUGUAUUAAGUCCAGUUGAUGUAGCAGAAGUUAACUGAGAACGUAAAGUCUAAUUUAUUAAAUAGUUUUAAUAAUGUUUGUUCAAAAGUAAGAUAAAAUCCAAGUUAAACUUUUUGUUAUCCUGUUUUCCUACAAAAGGGGCAUUCAAAGAUAUACAAAUACAGACAAACGAUUCCAAAAAACAGAUUGAGAGCCAAAGGGAAGUUCUUUGUCCCUGUUUGGAGGUGGUAGCACCUGACAAAUUCAGGCUAGAGCCUGUUAUCUUCCUGAAGUAGCACCCUCGUAUCAACAGAAGAAACCAUCAAAAAACAUAAAAAGGAAUACAUUCUCAAAAGUCAAGUUCAAGUUGGCAUUUAAAGGUUUACU
rnacentral:lncRNA from 1 species